rnacentral:lncRNA from 1 species
UUUCUACAGUGAUGACCAUGGGGUCGUCCUGGGCUGGAUCUAUGGCUGUAAAGUCUUCGUCAGUGAAAGUAAUCAGAGGUAUAUGUGGACGCCUCCUCGUGGUAGCAUGAGCGGACUGGAUGUCACGGAGAUGUUUCUUUCGGGCGGAAUUUGAGCACCCGCCACCGGCAAAUCCUCCAGCUAUAUAAUUUGUUUCGUGGUUCGGUUCGCCCAAGUUAACGGGUCCAGCAAUCAUGUUGAUGACUUCGCGGACUCGUUGGCGAGGUCGGGCGUUUCGGUCGGGACUUGUGCUACGGGCGCGUGUACGCCGAACGGGGCUUUCGCUGCGUUUUCGCGAAGUCUGGCUACGGUCAGUGUGGCGUUUGUAAUCGUUAC